UACAGAGGUCCCAAGCGUUGUUCGGAUUCACUGGGCGUAAAGGGUGCGUAGGUGGUUGGGUAAGUCUGAUGUGAAAUCUCCGGGCUCAACCCGGAAAUGGCAUUGGAUACUAUUCGGCUAGAGGUUUGGAGGGGGGACUGGAAUUCUCGGUGUAGCAGUGAAAUGCGUAGAUAUCGAGAGGAACACCAGUGGCGAAGGCGAGUCCCUGGACAACACCUGACACUGAGGUGCGAAAGCGUGGGGAGCAAACAGG
rnacentral:rRNA from 1 species